AUUGAACGCUGGCGGCAGGCCUAACACAUGCAAGUCGAGCGGAUGAAGGGAGCUUGCUCCUGGAUUCAGCGGCGGACGGGUGAGUAAUGCCUAGGAAUCUGCCUGGUAGUGGGGGAUAACGUCCGGAAACGGGCGCUAAUACCGCAUACGUCCUGAGGGAGAAAGUGGGGGAUCUUCGGACCUCACGCUAUCAGAUGAGCCUAGGUCGGAUUAGCUAGUUGGUGGGGUAAAGGCCUACCAAGGCGACGAUCCGUAACUGGUCUGAGAGGAUGAUCAGUCACACUGGAACUGAGACAAGGUACAGACUCCUACGGGAGGCAGCAGUGGGGAAUAUUGGACAAUGGGCGAAAGCCUGAUCCAGCCAUGCCGCGUGUGUGAAGAAGGUCUUCGGAUUGUAAAGCACUUUAAGUUGGGAGGAAGGGCAGUAAGUUAAUACCUUGCUGUUUUGACGUUACCAACAGAAUAAGCACCGGCUAACUUCGUG
rnacentral:rRNA from 1 species